rnacentral:rRNA from 1 species
CAGCCGCCGCGGUAAAACGUAGGGUGCAAGCGUUAAUCGGAAUUACUGGGCGUAAAGCGUGCGCAGGCGGUCCGCUAAGACAGAUGUGAAAUUCCCGGGCUUAACCUGGGAACUGCAUUUGUGACUGGCGGGCUAGAGUAUGGCAGAGGGGGGUAGAAUUCCACGUGUAGCAGUGAAAUGCGUAGAGAUGUGGAGGAAUACCGAUGGCGAAGGCAGCCCCCUGGGCCAAUACUGACGCUCAUGCACGAAAGCGUGGGGAGCAAACAGGAUUAGAGACCCGCGUAGUCCCUGUCUCUUAUAC